GCUUAUCACCAUUCCAGAUUGAAUAUACCCGAUCUCGUCUGAUCCUCGGGAGUCAAGCAAUCUCGGGCUUGGUUAUUA
rnacentral:rRNA from 1 species